rnacentral:misc_RNA from 1 species
UUCUCCUGCCCGGUCGUGAAGCCAAUCGAUGAAGGGCAAGACCCCCUUCCAAACCGCGCGCGUGGGCUUCCUGCACAC